rnacentral:rRNA from 1 species
UCAUAGUAACUUAAUCGGAUCGCAUGGGCUCGUCCCGCGACAAACCAUUCAAGUUUCUGCCCCAUCAUGCUUUCGAUGGUAGUGUAUUGGACUACCAUGGCUUUCACGGGUAACGGAGGAUUAGGGUUCGAUUCCGGAGAGGGAGCCUGAGAAACGGCUACCACUUCCACGGAAGGCAGCAGGCGCGUAAAUUACCCAAUCCUAAUUCAGGGAGGUAGUGACAAGAAAUAACGGGCCGGGA